UACGAAGGGGGCUAGCGUUGUUCGGAAUUACUGGGCGUAAAGCGCGCGUAGGCGGCUUUGCAAGUCGGGUGUGAAAUCCCCAGGCUUAACCUGGGAACUGCAUUCGAGACUGCAUUGCUAGAGUAUGGGAGAGGGAAGUGGAAUUCCCGGUGUAGCGGUGAAAUGCGUAGAGAUCGGGAGGAAGGCCGGUGGCGAAGGCGGCGCUCUGGAACAUUUCUGACGCUGAGGCUCGAAAGCGUGGGGAGCAAACAGG
rnacentral:rRNA from 1 species